rnacentral:lncRNA from 1 species
UUGUUGUGACCUGAUAUUUAAUGACUUGGAGGAGGAUUCUACGAGCUUAGAAUGAUCAGGAGGUGCAGAAGUGGGUUUGCAUGGAAGAGAAUCAGGUUAUUUAGAAGGUUUUAAUGAGAACGUCUCAUGAGCCAAAGACUCAAGGAGUACUAUUGUUCUUACAUCUCCUAGGAAUGGAGUUUUUUUCCCUUGAUACCCAGAUGAGAGAUACGCUCUUUUAUUCAUCAGACUCUCAGCAAUGAUAGCUAUGAUGUUAUGCGUUGCUUCCUUUUCUGGUGACUCUGAAAGAGUUACUAAGUCCAGGACGAAGGAGUUCAGAUAUUGGUCAGGAUCAUCCUCAAAAACUUCUAGCACUUGAGAGGUAAAACCUCCUAAGUGUACUUUGAUGAGAUCAUAGGAAUGGCUAGACAUAGGGUUUUCAAAACGAGAGAGAAUAGGGUUUAUUAGAAAAGGGAAAACUGUAGGAAAGGAGGAGGAGAUAAGAAUGGGUAAAGUAGUAGAAUGAGUGAAAUAGUGAAGCUCUAGGGAUGAUUUCAAGGAUAAUAAGGAAGUGGGAGUGGUGUUAAUGGUGGGAGAAGGAGGCGAUUGUUCGAUUGCCAUUAUAGGAGUACUUGGAAGACGAGUAGAGUGAGAGAUAGAGAUAAAGAGAGGAUCACAGGUACACAAAAGAGAUGAAGGUUCAUGACUUGCUAUGAGAGAAAAAGAAAGUUUUAUUGGAAGAAGGGUUAAUGAUGAGAGGAGAGACAAAUAGGUUCUGAAUAGUUCUGAAAACGGCAGUAGGUUUGUGGGAAAACGUUACCGUGCAGAGGGGAUAAAAGGAUUUGAAAGACAAGACAUGGCAUGCAGACUUUGAAAAGUUGGAUGAUGUGGCAGUUGAAUUAAUUUUGUUAAUUUGUUUUGUUUUGUGAAGGCAUGCAUAAUAAGCAUAUUACUACAAACCUGGGGUACAGGAACCUGAUGCCAGACCAAUUUUUUGAAAACGGUUUUAGCAGCUCCUAUCUCACAGUUCAUACUGUACCUUUAGCUUCUAUGAUCGUCAUGCGUGUUUACCUGCAAUGGUAUUGAUGUGAGUUAGGGUUGAUCAUAAAACACUUUAGCUAACUUUACCUGACGGUGUCUUGCAUAGCCAGUUGAUAGAAGAUCAGGUUCUUUAGUAGACUCUUAUGACCUCAUCUUCACCUUGUUUGAUCCAGAAUAUUCUCUACUCAAGGCUUUGACAAAGAUAUCUGGAAUUUGGUCUUCUGUUUUGGAAGACUUUCCAUAGAUCAACCCUUUUUUCAUAUUGACCCUCAAAAGAUAAUCCCACCCCUCAAUGUGCUUGGUCCUCUUGUUUUGAGAUUCUUUUUCAGUUGUUGACGAGGCCAUUGAGUUUUGCUUCCUUGUCCCCCAAGGGAUGAGGCAUGAUCAUGGCAAGUGAACCGUUCUAGAAGUGCUUUUCCUUUUCACAGAAAAAACUGCACAGUUAACAUCAUCAUACCUAAUAGGAUUAAAAACGUUGUCACCUGAGGGGUAACACGGAACCAGGUCCUGAGUUCCCUUAAGGUAUCUCAAACUUCUAUGGGCAUCCUUUAGGGAGAGAUUCUUUCUCUUUACUAGAGCCAAGACUGUACGAGGAGAGAAAGACUUAAGUCGACUCAAGUGGAAAUAAUCAGACUGCUUCCAUACCUUAUCUCAGGUUACCCCUUAGUGCGGGUAUGGGGCACUUCGUCAGUGGUGGUUCAUUUAGCAAGCAGUCUUAUUGCUUGAAAGCUUCCGUCUUUCUCAAAAGGGCCCUCUUCCUAUUUAGGGGGUUGAACGUGGGGGUUGUUCUUAUUUUACCGGAGGGGUUUGAAUUAGCUCCUCCCGAUUGUAUCUCUCAAAAGAACCAAAUUCUUGUUAGCGAUUAUUUAUGAUAAAAAAUUUCAAGUAGGAUUCCUACUGACUUUCACUUUGGAUUCUAUUCUAGAGUGGUGAUACAGAAGGAACUAGGGAAAAAUGUUUUUUUUUUUUGAAAAAAAACUUAUCCAACUCUAGAAUAAAAGAAAGUGAUGAUGGGAGCUUUUGUGUUUCCAGUUUGGGACUGAAGUUUGAUUGGUAGGGGAGAUUUGGAAGAAUUUGAUUUCCCCACACUCUGUGUUCUGUUUCUUGAGAGGUGCCAUGAGUUGCAUCUCCACUCUUUCUUCAGCUUUAGUGGAAGUAAGUGAAGUACCAUGUUCCUUGUGAGAAGUGGAAUAUGAUGUUGCAUUGUCUUUCACCAGUCUCCUUCAUCUUACUCAUUUUAUCAGCCUUGCCUAUUUGAAGUCUAAGAUAUUUCCCAAGGACCAGAGUUGGUUCAUCAUAUUGAUCAUCACCGUUUCUUCCUUGGCUAGAGGAAGGUGUCUUGUUGAAUACCCCAUGAGCACUUCCUUCCAUUUAGUGUGACCUUUGUUGUAGAAUUUGUGACCUUGCUUUGUGGAGAUUACCCCAGAAGGAUUCCUUCGUUCGUCUUUUGCAUUGAAAUUCCCAAGCUGAUCUUUCUCGUUGUUGAGAACAUGGCAUUUUCAGUCAAGAAGGUUCUCAGAUGAGUUGUCUUUCAGUCAAGAAGGUAUUUUCUUCCAUUUGGCAGCUCAAAGUGGGUUUUGAUUCAGGGGGACCUGAUCAGACACCUGUUCACCAAGUAGAAAGCAGUAUUUACUACUUUUGCCCGGAAUUUCUUGGUGAUUCCAUAGUCAAUGAGCAUUGUCCAUGACAUAUCUUCCAGUUCCGUUCUUUCUUACAGCAAUACCAUUUUGCUGUGGAGUCCUUGGUGUAGAGAAAUUAUGCGUGAUCCCUCCUUUUUUUGCUUUCACUUGAAUCUUCUUGACAAGAACCAUUAACACCUCGAGAGUCUCCUCCAUUGUUUUGUGGACCUGUGUCCAGGUGACUCAUGAGUUUGGCAGACCACGCACCAGGUCCUUCUGAGUUAAUUUAUUCAGAGGUGUGAAGCUUGCAUACACCAAUCUUUCAUGCCAAUUUUCCGACUUCACCCAUCUCAUACCUGUCGCGCCCCCUUUUUCUCGCGAAAUCGGGUUUAUGAUAUUUGGGAGGACAACUCAUUCCCUUUUGGGAAUUUGGGUUAGCAUUUGAAGAGUCGCCACCUAAUGAUUAAUGUGCAUUAGGACACCAAGAAGGUUUGAUUUGAGUAACCAGAGAUUAGGUAAGGGCUUGAAAUUAUUCCAAGGGGAAGGUGUUAGGAACCCCUAAGUAUCCACUAGUGUGGUUCCCGACCAGACUAUUAUUGUGAAUUUAGGUGCAAAUAACAUGUAGGCGAAUAGAACUUCAAAUAAAAGGGAAUUUUCACAUAAUGGUUACAAACAAAAUUGGAAAGAAUUAAAAGGAAGCUGAUUUUCUUAAAAGAAAUAGUUUGAAAUCUUUAUAAGAAACAAAGAAACAAAAGGAAAAAGGGGGGUCCUAGGUUUAUUAAUAAUAUGGAUCACCCCACAUAACAUCCAGUAAUCACUCCUCAGUGAGGGGCUACACGAGACGUUAUCGCAUGGUCAUCAUAUCCAUAUCUACCUUUUCCCACCCUGUUGAGGUAUUAAAGCGCGAAAUGGUCUCGAUUGCUUAUUGCAUGCUAUUACCCUCCCAAUCCUAUCAGUCUGGAGGCAUUAGGAAUACUAAUCCUAAUAGGGAGGGAUAUUAGGCUUAUUUGUAGUUUGAAAGGUAAAAUUCUAAGGCGACAUACAAAAAACAUGUAUAGCAAGUUGGGGAAAGCACAUAACAAGUAAAAGGCUCAGAUAUACCCCCUCGAACAAAGAAAGCAUAUAAUUAGAAUGACUUUCACAUACUGUUUAUGGUCUGAGAAAGAACUUAAAGGUUGAGGCAAACUGAUUUAUUACAUAAUUCAGCUAAGAAGCCCGAGUCAGGCCAGCCUGCUGGUUGUAGUUAAUAACACAGAUUUAGUUUAUAACUUUUAUCUUAAGGCUUGCUUGAGUGUUGGACAAGGAUCCUAUAGGCAUGGUAUCUAUUGAAUUCAGGAAAGCCAUGAAAUAAUAAGGCCUAAAAAAUAAAUUGAGUACAUGCUGGUAAAAAAGGGAAGUCAGAGAAAGCGCACUUUAAUGAAAGUUAUAGGCUCUGAAACUGAUGAUACUCGUUAUUACUGAUUUUAUAUCUAACAUUAAGUGAGGCGAAUCAGAUUCAAUUAGAAACUCCUAUAGGCAUGCUUUCUAGGCGUUACUGAUUUUAAAACCUUGAAGACGUAGUAUAAAAUGAAGAAGACUCAUUUUAAACCUAUACACAUGAUAUCUAGAUGCUGAAUUCUGUUUAAGACAUGAUGCCCAAGUGCAAUUGAAUGUUUAAGUCCUAUGAGCAUGGUAUCUAGGUGCAGACAUUUGUUUAAGACCUAUAAACAUGAUUUCUAUAUGAGAAAAUGGAUAUACAGGAUUCAGAAAGACCUAUAGGCAUAUUUUCUAUAUGCAUAUGCAGAAUUCAGAUUGACUUAUAUGCAUGAUUUCUAGACGAGAGUAGUAGACCUAUGAUCAUGAUUUCUAUAUGAAAAAUGGACAUUCAGAAUUCCCUAUAGAUGUGCUUUCUAUAUGCAUUUGAGUGUGUAGAAUUCGAAAACCUAUAUACGUGGUAUCUAUGUGAGAAUACAGAAUUCAGAAUUCCUAUAGGCAUGACAUCUAUGUAAAAGUGCAGAAUUCAGAAAUACCUAUAGGCAUGGCAUCUACCCUUUGCAUACAUAGUUACCCGCCCUUUCACUAACCAGCCCAAAUGUUUAUUACAAAAUUAUUAUAGCCCAAAAUAAAGUGAAAUACAUCAGAAAAAAAUAAAAGUACAACCAAAAGAGAGCCAGAUUCAAACUUCAUGUCUGAAAUAUGAGGUAAACCAACUCCAUAAAAUCAAGAUCCAAAGCCUUUCUCCCAUUCGAGUGUGUCAAGUUCCCUAAGAGCCUCAAAAGGACUCCGAGCAAUGCUUACACCCAAAUGUAUUAUNNNNNNNNNNNNNNNNNNNNNNNNNNNNNNNNNNNNNNNNNNNNNNNNNNNNNNNNNNNNNNNNNNNNNNNNNNNNNNNNNNNNNNNNNNNNNNNNNNNNNNNNNNNNNNNNNNNNNNNNNNNNNNNNNNNNNNNNNNNNNNNNNNNNNNNNNNNNNNNNNNNNNNNNNNNNNNNNNNNNNNNNNNNNNNNNNNNNNNNNNNNNNNNNNNNNNNNNNNNNNNNNNNNNNNNNNNNNNNNNNNNNNNNNNNNNNNNNNNNNNNNNNNNNNNNNNNNNNNNNNNNNNNNNNNNNNNNNNNNNNNNNNNNNNNNNNNNNNNNNNNNNNNNNNNNNNNNNNNNNNNNNNNNNNNNNNNNNNNNNNNNNNNNNNNNNNNNNNNNNNNNNNNNNNNNNNNNNNNNNNNNNNNNNNNNNNNNNNNNNNNNNNNNNNNNNNNNNNNNNNNNNNNNNNNNNNNNNNNNNNNNNNNNNNNNNNNNNNNNNNNNNNNNNNNNNNNNNNNNNNNNNNNNNNNNNNNNNNNNNNNNNNNNNNNNNNNNNNNNNNNNNNNNNNNNNNNNNNNNNNNNNNNNNNNNNNNNNNNNNNNNNNNNNNNNNNNNNNNNNNNNNNNNNNNNNNNNNNNNNNNNNNNNNNNNNNNNNNNNNNNNNNNNNNNNNNNNNNNUCACAAGAGGGGGCAGAACUUAAAGACUAAACGGGAGUGCAAGUGCAGAAAAGAAUUCUGAGAGAGGGAAAGGGGAAGAGAAGCAACUACAAAUAAAUACACAUAGGGGCACAGAGGAACGGGGAGGUUGUAAUGAGCCAAGGGCAGGCUGUGGGCAUACCCAGCAUGGUGAAUGCUAGCACACCCAUAAGCCUGUUAGAACACACUAUUAGAGGCUAGGAUCCCAAAGGAUCAAGCUUAAUUCAUGGACAAUAAUUUGCAUAUUGCCAUGCCUUAAGCCAUAGCUCAAACACAUAGGGGGCAGGGGUUUGGGAUCCAUAAUAGAAACAUGCAGAAAGAAAUCAGCAAGCUAAUUUAAGUGUUGAACUAUACAGAAAUAGUAAGUAGGCAUGGAUACAAAAACAGUAAAUAAACACGUUGUCGUGGUGCUAAAGCUUAAACCAGACAUACCAGUUUCAAAGAAAUAAAUAGAGAAAAGCAGUAGGUCUUGUAAACAGGCCACGAUGCAAGCAAAUAAGAGAGAAUACUAUUGUGUGUAAGUGUAGUUUCAAAAGAAAACUAUGAGUGAGUGAUCCUUUCUUUUUUGUGCUAAUGAAAGAGUAGUGUAUUUAUAGUGUGAAAAAUAGGCAGAAAGAAGGUAAGAAAACAAUUAAGGGACUGGGGUAUCAAAUAAAAAUCAAUCAAUACAAAAUUUUCCUUAAUUAAGGAACUCAUAUUCAAACGGGAAAACUAUUUAAGGGAAGAAAUCAAAUAAACAUCUUGUGCAAAGCAUGCAAUUAGGGGUAAAUACAUAAGAAGCUACUUAACGACAGAAUUUUGAAAUACACAGUUACAAAAAUAAGGUAAGAAAAAUCAAUUAGUAGCCAGUAAAUCAAGGAUCAGUGAUUUUGUAAUCACUGGUCCAUGAGUGAACCAAGUCAGAAAAGCUGAGAAAAGUUUUAACUUAAGUCGAGUCACAUGGAAAUCAGCCAACAAGGAAAGAAAUCAAUCAAACCUAUACAGAAGGAAGUCUGAACUAAUCACAAAUUUGAAAGCCAUUUUAAAGGGAAGUUCAGCACAUAUAAAGAGCAUACAAACAUGCUAAGCUGAAAGAAAAUGAAGUGUCAUUGCAAAAUCAGUAGAUAGUAGACUACAGGAGCAUGGUAGUCACAUAGGUUAGCAAUGUAGAAGAGAAGUAGAAUCAAAUAGCAUACAAAAGGUCCAGUGUAAAAGACCUUAGAAGAGUUUAGUGGAAAAUUAAAAUUGCUUAAAGAGACAGAGGUUGAAAUAAAGAUUUCGAGACUCAGUUGAGAAACAAAUUCAGAAACACGAAAUAGUUAGGGUUUCUUAAAUCAGAUGGUUUUAAAGAUGAAGGACAAACAUAUCACAUAGGCAAUGUUCUCAAACUCGGAUGAACCCCAAAUUUUAGGGUUUUACCAUCAAUCGAGUGCCAAGAUGAGAGGACAAGUAAUUAAGAAGAAGAUACUAGUCGAAAACAAGUUAAAAGAUCUCAGAAGGGAACUGGGCCUUCGACAUGCUUUUUCAAUAACGAAAACUCAUGAGAAACAUAGUAAAAGAGUAACAUGCAAAUCACAGUAGAAGAGCUCAAAGAAACAUAGUAGAAGAAGCUAAUAAGAAACAUAGUAGAAGAAGACUAAUCAAAACACAGUAGGUGAAACAUAUAAAGAAGCAUGGUAGAAGAAACUAAUUAAGAACACAGUGGAAGAAACUUAAUAAAAACUCACAGAGAACACAGUAGAAGAAACGUAGUAAAAAAACAUACAAAAGAAAAAGAAAAUCAGAGAGGCCUCUAAAUAACUCAGAAACCCUAGGUCGGAAAAAAUAAAGUGUUUUGAAAACAUAGCUUUGAAAGAAAUAUCAAGAAAUUCGUUUAAAAACUUAGGGAAAACAUGGAUCUGGAAUAGAUCUAAAGAGAUCAGAAAAAUCUCAAAAGCUAGGGUUUCAGAGGAAUCCAAACUGUGAGAAAGGCCUGGACCAGGCUCGAAACAGACGUAGCUUGCCGGAGCAAGGCCAGAGAUGGCCAUAAAACUCGAAUAAAUAAGGCCGGGAUGAAGCUUCUUCGUGGUCAGGGCAUGAAACCUCAGCAAACGAGCGUGUAUGCACCAUGGAAGGUUGGCAGGUGGUGAGACCACCAUAGAUUCAGGCCAGGAGAUGGCCGGAAAAGAUGGAUGAGACUCAUCGGAGAGGGGGGAAGGGGAAGGUUCUAGAGAGAACCAGAGAUAGAGAGAUAGAGAGAGAGUCGGUUGAGUGAGGGAAAUGAGACGGGUUUGGGAGGGUCGUUUGGUUUAAUUUAGGAAGGAUGAAUGGUGGUCGUUGAUCAUUUUGAUCAACGGCAUGGAUUAAAUGGGAUUCGGGCGGGUCAUUCAAAUGGUUUGUAGGUCAGGUAGAUUUAGGAUUUGGGUUGGGUAAUUGGGUUUGACAUUGGGUUUAAUUAGGGGUUCAAAUCUGGCCAAAAUUGAAAUGAAAUGGGCUAACAUUUAAAUAGCCACUUUUUCCCUUGUUUAGUUUAUAAAAAUAGUAAAAUAAUUUCUGGGAGUAAAUUAAAGGUACUAAAAUGAUUAAUAGUACAUAAUUAUCCAACUAAAAAAACUGAAGUUAAUCUUGUAAAUAUAAACACCAUUAAAUCUUUAAAAAGGCUAAUAUCGCAAUUACGUACAAUUUAGCUUUAAAAAUACUAAAUAAAUUUAUAAAAAAUAUGAAAAAAUUAUGUUAGCUAUAUUUAAUGCAAAUAUGAGAAUCUAAUAGAUGAAUCACCAAAAUGAUAAUUUUGGGAACAAUUAUUGGGUUUUCUUGCUAAAAUAAGUCAAUAAAUUGAUUUAAAAAUCCUUAAAAUUAAGAGAAAAAAUACUAAAACCUUGGGACAUACUUAUAUAUGCAUAUUCAUGCUAUUUUGAAAGUAUUUUGCAUAUUUAAAAAUAUACAGAAAAAUUGGGUAUCAACAGCUGCCCCUCUUUACCCGGGAAGGAUGAAAGAGUUGUCGAGUAAAGAUAUGAUAGCCAAUUUUGACCGGAUGAAAGGGUUCAAGGAGACUUAGGCCAUACUAUGGUUUUUGAGCUGCCUACAUGUCCCUAGUUUUACAGAAAUCAGGCCAUAUCUAGUUCAGGAUCCGUCGGCGGAGUAGGCCUGAUAGAGACUUUCAAGAACGGACGCAAUAUUCAGGUUGGGUGGAUGGCUGAAAUCUGAUAGGGAUGCGGGAACUGGAGUGGGAUCACUCCUGCUGAGAUGGUCGUUGUUCGCUGGUUUACCUGCAAAUAAGCAUAUAUUGUGCGUAAAAUUAAAAUGAUGCAAAUUCCCGUCGGACCAUGGAUGUUUGUCGUCGGACGGUUAGGAUGACGUCCUCAGACCAUGGUGUCCUGGGCCAUAAAGCGUAUAAUAAAGGAUUCGCAGGCCAUGAAAUGAUGCUCUCGGGCUAUGAGAAUGAUGCCUCCGAACCAUGAUGCCUUUGAAUAAUGAUAUGCAAGGGAUUAAAAGGGAAAGGGGGUCCUCAGGCCAUGGCAUGGUGUUCUCGAGCUAUGAAAAUGGUGCCUCCGAACAAUGACGCCUUUGGAUAAUUUGGCUAUCUUUCAACCCAUGAAAUGCAACAGGUGGCGAUCUUUCAGCCCAUGAGAUGCAAAUGUAGAGGUGUAGAUCUUUCGGUCAUGCAAAUGUAGAGGUGGAGACCCUUUAGCCAUGCAAACAUAAAUAAGGUGGCGAUCUUCAGCCAAUGCAAAUGUAAAUAAGGUGGCGAUCUUUUAGCCAAUGCAAAUGUAAAUAAGGUGGCGAUCUUUCAGCCAAUGCAAAUGUAAAUAAGGUGGAUGCAAAUGUAAAUAAGGUGGCGAUCUUUCAGCCAAUGCAAAUGUAAAUAAGGUGGCGAUCUUUCAGCCAAUGCGUAGAGGUGGCNNNNNNNNNNNNNNNNNNNNNNNNNNNNNNNNNNNNNNNNNNNNNNNNNNNNNNNNNNNNNNNNNNNNNNNNNNNNNNNNNNNNNNNNNNNNNNNNNNNNNNNNNNNNNNNNNNNNNNNNNNNNNNNNNNNNNNNNNNNNNNNNNNNNNNNNNNNNNNNNNNNNNNNNNNNNNNNNNNNNNNNNNNNNNNNNNNNNNNNNNNNNNNNNNNNNNNNNNNNNNNNNNNNNNNNNNNNNNNNNNNNNNNNNNNNNNNNNNNNNNNNNNNNNNNNNNNNNNNNNNNNNNNNNNNNNNNNNNNNNNNNNNNNNNNNNNNNNNNNNNNNNNNNNNNNNNNNNNNNNNNNNNNNNNNNNNNNNNNNNNNNNNNNNNNNNNNNNNNNNNNNNNNNNNNNNNNNNNNNNNNNNNNNNNNAGACAGAGCUUAGUCUCGGAAGGCAGAAUGGUAGCCUUAUGCAACGUAGAAAUGCAGAUAGAGACAUAGCUUAGUCUCGGAAGGCAGAAUGGUAGCCUUAUGCAAUGCAGAAAUGCAGAUGGAGACAGAGCUUAGUCUCGGAAGGCAGAAUGGUAGCCUUAUGCAGGAAGUAAAGGAAAAUAAUAAUAGAAUUUUCUUAGCUGAUAGCGGAUUGCGAUAUUGCGACUGCUGGGGAUAUUGUAUCUUCCAGGGACACUGCGUGCAGAUAGCAACUGUGAGUAAGGGCAACGGUUCUGAGAGUCAUAUUUCUGAGCAAUGUGAGUCUCGUGAGUGUAUAGUAUAUUUGAUGAUUUUGCAAGUCAAGUGCCUGCAUCCAAAGAAAAAUUGUGAGUUUUGUAGAAGGGGGAGGUUAGUUCGUAUCCCCGUUAGCUCUGCUUGACCUACUCAGCUUGGAUCUAGUGAUACUAUAUGUAUCAUUGAGGUAACGUUUCUAAAUAAAGCGAUUUCAGAAAUAAACAUGCAUGAUUUACUAAAAAAAGACAUAAGUAUAUAAUCAAGAACAACUUUUAGAUAAACAGGCGACUGUGACGUGGUCCAAGACAUUGCAACCUUCCUUGUUACGGAAUUUUGAGGGUCCUCCUCAAAACUUUGCCCCAGUUUACUGGGUUGCUACUUCUGACUGCUGCUAGCGAUGAUUGGCUGAAAUUAACAUUGGAAUUUUGAGGGUCCUCCUCAAAAUUCUACCCCAGAUUCCAAUUGCGGGGGGAAAUGAAAGUUUUGUUGAAUUGUGAUCGAACCCAUAGAGAUGCCUACGUAUCCCCUCUUUAAUGGGAAUCAGGUCAGGCGUAGUUCAAAUUACAUCACAAAGGAAAGCAUAAAGAUUACACAUAGUAGCGCUUGACUGCAUCUGAAUGAUCGGCUUUGGCCAGACUUUUCCGUCCAUUUCCGCAAGUGUGAGGGCUCCUCCUGUUAGAACCCGGUGAACCAUGUAUGGACCCUUCCAGUUGGGAGAGAAUUUUUCUUUGGCUUCGUCUUGAUACGGGAAAAUUUUCUUUAACACUAGCUACCCCGGUGUGAACUGUCUUGGCUUGACUCUUUUGUUGAAGGCUCUAGACAUCCUGUUCUGAUAAAGCUAACCGUGGCAAACUGCAUUCAUUCUCUUUCCAUCUAUAAGAGCUAGCUGCUCGUAACGAUUCUUUACCUAUUCUGCAUCGUCUAGCUUUGCUUCCUGUAUGAUUCUUAAUGAGGUAAUUUCCACCUCGGCAGGAAUGACGGCAUCUGUACCAUAAACUAGCAUAUAAGGUGUUGCCCCGUUGAUGUGCGUACUAUGGUGCGGUACCCCAAUAAAGCAAAUUAUAGCUUCUCGUGCCACUACUUAUGCUUCUAUAUCAUUUUCCUUAGUAUCUUCUUAAUAUUCUUAUUGGCGGCUUAUACUGCUCCGUUCAUCUGAGGUCUGUAGGCUGUAGAAUUCUUGUGUUUGAUCUUGAAGGUUUCACACAUGGAUUUCAUCAGGUCAUUGUUGAGAUUGGAACCAUUAUUAGUGAUGAUUGAUUCCGGAAUCCCAAACCGACAAACGAUACAGUCGCGGACGAAGUCUGCCACAACUUUCUUAGUCACUGCUUUGUAAGAUACUGCUUUGACCCAUUUGGUGAAAUAUUCGAUUGCUACUAGGGUAAACAUGUGCCUGUUGGAGGCAGCAUGCUCGAUUGGUCCAAUAACAUCCAUUCCCCAAGCAGCGAACGGCCACGGUGAGCUUGUUGCAGUAAGCUCGCUUGGAGGUACCUUUAUCAUGUCUGCAUGUAUCUGACAACGGUGGCAUUUCCGGACAUACUGGAUGCAGUCCGUCUCCAUAGUUAUCCAAAAGUAACCAACACAGAGUAUCUUCUUUGCUAAGACAAAACUGUUCAUAUGUGGGCCGCAGGUCCCAGCAUGGAUUUCUUCUAGUAGUUUAGAUAUUUCCUUCGCGUUGACACACCUUAGUAAUCCCAAAUCAGGAGUCCUCCUAUAUAGGAUUCCUCCGCUGUGAAAGAAAUUAUUGGAAAACCUUCGAAGUGUGCGCUUCUGAGUAGUGUUCUCAAGUUCUAGGUAUUCCCCUUUUGCCAAAUAUUCCUUGAUAUCAUGAAACCAAGGCUUUCCAUCUGCUUCUUCUUCAACAUGAGCACAGUAAGCUGGCUGAUCAUAGAUCUUUACCGGAAUGGGAUCAAUGAAGUUCUUGUGUGGAUGUUGUAUCAUUGAUAAUAGGGUGGCCGAUGCAUCGGCGAACUCAUUCUAGAUUCUGGGAAUAUGUUGGAAUUUCGUCUUUGUGAACCUCUUUCUCAAUUCCCGUACAUGAUGCAGAUAAGGGGGUAUCUUGGAGUUCUUGGUCGCCCAUUCUUCUCGGACCUGAUGUAUAAGCAAGUCUGAAUCCCCCAUUACUAGCAACUCUUGAAUGUUCAUGUCGAUGGCCAUUUUGAGACCUAAAAUGCAGGCUUCAUACUCAGCCAUAUUGUUGGUGCACGAGAAUCUGAGUUUGGCGGACACCGGAUAAUGCUGACCGGUUUUCGAUACAAGGACUGCUCCUAUGCCAACUCCCUUGAAGUUUACGGCUCCGUCGAAAAAUAUUCUCCAACCGACAUAGGAUUCUGCAAUAUUUUCUCCUAUGAAUGAUACCUCUUCGUAAGGAAAAUACGUUUUCAGGGGUUCGUAUUCUCCAUCCACGGGGUUUUCAGCAAGGUGAUCUGCUAGUGCCUGUCCCUUCUGAGUUACGUAGAUAACGUCAAAUUCACUCAACAAGAUUUGCCACUUGGCUAGCUUUCCAGUGGGCAUGGGCUUCUGGAAGAUGUACUUCAAAGGAUUCAUCCUUGAUAUGAGAUAUGUAGUAUAUGCACAGAAGUAGUGCCUCAGCUUCUGAGCUACCCAAGUUAAAGCACAAUAGGUGCGCUCUAAUAGAGGAUAUCGGGCCUCACACAGGGUGAACUUCUUACUGAGGUAAUAGAUGGCCUGUUCCUUCCUCCCCGUUUUAUCAUGUUGCCCCAGAACACAACUGAAUGCUCCAUCCAAUACUACGAGGUAGAGUAAUAGAGGUCUACCUGGAUCGGGUGGGACCAAGACUGGUGGUGUUGACAGGUACUCCUUAAUUCUGUCGAAGGCCUUUUGGCAGUCAUCAGUCCAUUUGGUAGUGGCAUCCUUCUUCAACAUCUUAAAGAUUGGCUCACAGAUAACGGUAGAUUAUGCUAUGAACCGACUGAUAUAAUUAAGUCUCCCCAAGAAACUCAUUACGUCCUUCUUGUUCUUUGGCGGUGGCAACUCUUGAAUAGCUUUGACCUUUGAUGGAUCCAGUUCUAUUCCUCGGUGACUUGCAUUGAACCCAAGUAGUUUUCCGGUAGGAACCCCAAACGCGCACUUCGCGGGAUUCAGUUUUAGGUUGUACCUUCUCAGUCUAUUGAAGAACUUUCUCAAAUCUUCCGUGUGAUCAGUGGCUUUCUUGGACUUGAUGAUAAUAUCAUCUACAUAUACCUCGAUCUCCUUGUGUAUCAUAUCGUGGAAAAUGGUUGUCAUGGCCCUCAUGUAGGUGGCCCCAGCCUUUUUUAAUCCAAACGACAUCAUCUUGUAACAGUACAUCCCUCACGGCGUAAUAAAAGCCGUUUUCUCAGCAUCUUCUUCAUCUAUCCAGAUCUGAUGAUACUCCGCAAAACAAUCUACAAAUGACUGCAACUCAUGCUUGGCGCAAUUGUCGAUCAGGAUGUGUAUGUUCGGCAAGGGGAAGUCGUCUUUUGGACAGGCCCAAUUGAGAUCCCGGUUGUCGACACAGACUCUAACCUUCCCGUCCUUCUUUGGUACCGACACAAUGUUGGCUAACCACGUCGGAUAUUCUACUACCCUGAGAACCUUGGCUUUGACCUGCUUAGUGACUUCUUCUUUGAUUUUCAAACUCAUAUCAGGCUUGAACUUUCUAAGUUUUUGCUUUACCGGCGGACAUGUCGGAUCAGUUGGCAGUUUGUCUGCCACAAUAGAUGUACUCAGACCAGUCAUGUCAUCAUAUGACCAAGCAAAUAUGUCUUCAUAUUCCCUUAGAAAUUUUGUGUAUUCCUUCUUUUCUGAUGACGAUAAGUGGACACUGAUUCUCGUUUCUUUGACGUUCUCUGCAUCUCCCAAGUUAACAAUCUCGGUCUCGUCCAGGUUGGACUUAGGUCUAUUCUCAAAAUUCUCAACUUCCUUAACGAUCUCUUCCGGUAUUUCAUCUUCCUCUUAAUCUGUAUCCAUUUGUUGUGUUGUCUCAUUGCAUGUCACAGUCACUGGUUCAUCAAGAUAAUGCUGACUAAAGUAAUGAGAGAGAAUAAUAAUAGUAAGAUUCAUAGGGAAAAUCAAAAUUCUUUGAAAAAUCCAUAACUGUCUUGAACAUUGAAGAUCUUAUUGCAAAAUUUUAAAAUACAAAAGGAAAGUCAACUAGUAAAAAUGAAAGAUAGUGCAUGACGCUUGUUCAGCCUUGCUACCCCAAGGUUUUUCGGGCUCUGGUGGUUCUGAUGGUCCAUUUAUUGAGGCAUGCUCCUCUGCUCACUGCCUGUAUGGAAGGGCCUUCCUCCCCCUCCUCCUCGAAAACAACACAACAUUCCAUAUCAUUGUCUUCCAGGAACAAAUUCCUUACUGUUGCAAGUGCUUCCUCUUCUUCUGACCCAUAGAUAACAUUGGUUGGCUUGAAAGUCUGCUUCAAAUGUGGUAUUGAAUGCUCCAGUGGAUAGUAAGGACCGCGCCAUGGUGGCGACCAGUUGUUGAAUUCCUCCCAAGUGUACUCAUAUCCCAGAUCGAAGGUGGUGCCAUGUUUCUUUAGUUUGAUAGGCUUAGCGAUUCCUUGGAGGUUCUUGCCAAGUCCCUUGUCAAGUUCGUAUCCACUCCAGUUCAAUAUGCUUUCAAUUUUAUUGUCCCACCAUUUGUCCUUGUCGACGGUGUUGACUCGCUCGAUAUGGUGAUAGGUCUCCCCACCAUAUCUUUCUUCUGCCUCCAAUUGCUGGGAUGGUCUGGCGACUGUAUAUGGGAUUGCUACCGUCAUCGUGAAUGAUCACCUCUUGGUGGUUCCACUCAAAGUUCACCGCCUGAUGUAGUGUUGAUGCUACGGCCCCAGCGGCAUGAAUCCAUGGUCGUCCCAACAACAAAUUGUAAGAUGCCGACAUGUCUAUUACUUGAAAAUCAACAUUGAACCAAGUAGGCCCCAUUUGCAAACAUAGGCUGAUUUCACCAAUGGUGGACCUUUGGGAACCGUCGAAAGCUUUGCCGUUAAUGGCCCCGUCCUUGAUCUCGUACAGCCCCUUUCCCAAUGUCUUGAGAGUUACCAAUGGACAAAUGUUAAGGCUGGACCCUCCAUCAAUCAGGACUCCGGUGAUAAAAUAAUCUUUGCAUUGCACGGUGAUAUGCAACGCCUUGUUGUGACUCAACCCUUCUGGUGGCAGCUCAUCUUCAUGAAAAGCGAUCUUAUGACUUUCCAAUACCUGCCCUACCAUGUUUGCCAUCUCUCCUCUAGUGAUGUUGUUUGGUACAUACGCCUCACUUAGUACCCUUAACAGAGCAUUCUUGUGUGCCUCAGAAUUUUGUAGCAAAGCAAGUAUGGAGAUCUGCGCCGGUGUUUUGUUCAGCUGGUCGAUGAUCGAGUAUUCCUUGGCUUGUAUCUUUCUCCAAAGAUCGUCUGGACCCGUCUCAAUGAUGGGAGACCGAUUGGAGGCCUUCUUUCUUUACUCAGCUAGGUGUUCCGGGAUAUAGACCCUAUCAGUUCUUAUCAUACCCUGUGCGGCAACAAUUUUCUCGAACCUAACCUUGCCUUUCCUCUUGCCUCAGCUGUAUAGUCCCAUGGUAUAGCCUUUGUGUGGAAUGGCGUCAUGGCUGACAUUGCUAUGGGAUCGGCGCGACUAUCUUCACCCCGAACAGAGCAUGUUCCUUGGGUGGUAAAACUGCAACUUCGAAUGGUAUAGGUGCAUUUGUUGGUGACAUAAAUUCAACCUCAGUCGGUGUUGGCAUCUUUGUAGAGGAUGGUGCUUCAAACUCAAGUGGCAUGGUCAUAUUUACCUCGGCGUCCCCAGAAGGCUGAAUCUGGACUAUAAUCAGAUUAAGGGUGACCAUUGGCCCCUUUGGAUUGUCGCCUUCUGUGAUCAAACCGAUCGAUCUCUUGGGGUCCCAAUCAUCCUCUAUUUUAAUCAUGUGAACGUCUCCACUCUUAUAGUCUGGUAGAGGGUUAUUGCGGACAUUUGGAGUAGGUUCCUUUGCCACAAUAAUUUUGUUAUUAAUCAGAGCCUGGAUCUUGUCUUUCAGGGAGCGACAUUCGUCGAUGGUGUGUCCUUUCAUGCCGGAGUGGUAUGUACAAGAUUUAUUUGGAUUAACCCACUGAGAAGGGUUCUCGGGGGUUAUAGCAGGAAUAAGGGUGACAUAACCAGCAACUUUGAGCCUCUCGUACAACUGGUCAAUUGGUUCGGCAAUGGCUGUAUACUGUUUAAGGGGUCUGCGGUCAAAAUUUGGUCAAGAUCUAGGGAAGUUUUGGCAUGUAGGAGGUGAUCGAUGGUGGGAUGGUUAAGCAUUGUCGGCUUGGUAAACAUGUGCGGGUUGGGAAUAUCUGGGUGAUGUAGAUUGAUAUGUGGGAGGUGGAGGUCAUUGAUAAGUGGGCGGUAGAGUUUGGUAAGAGGGUGAGGGUGCCUGGUAGUUCGGAGUAGGCUGAUAUGUGAGUGGAGGCAUUAGAUAGGUUUGGUAUUUGAUAGGGGAUUUGGUUCUCUAUGCCACCAUUACGGCACUACGUCCCUUUUCUUGGACGUACCACCAUACUGUAAAGCCCUAUUGGUAGCUUGCAAGGCUUCAAAGUUUGUAACCAUACCACUUUUGAUGUCUUCUUCGAUCCUUUCUCCCAGCUUGAUAAUGUCGGAAAAUUUGUGGCUCUCAAUCAUCAUCAGCCUUUCAUAAUACUGCGGGUCCUAAGCCCGGACAAAGAAUUUGUUCAUCUGCUCCACUUCUAAGGUAGGCCUGACCUUAGCAGCUUUGGACCUCCAGCAAGUAGCAUACUCGUGAAAUGUUUCUGUAGGCUUCUUUUUAGAUUCUGAAUGUAGAACACAUCCGGUGCAUUUUCCGUGUUGAACCUGAACCUGUCCAUAAAGUUGGACGCCUUGCUUACCUAUUUUGACCAUUUAUUUGGAUCUUGGCUGAUGUACCAAGACAAAGCAUCUCCUUUCAAUCUUUUCAUGAAAAGCUUCAUGCAAAUUCUCUCGUUUUCCCUACUCUAACCAGAUUGUCACAGUACGUUCUCAGAUGGACCCUUGGAUCUCCUGUACCAUCAAACAUUUCGAACUUCGGAGGUUUGUACUCCUCGGGCAGUUCAACAUCAGGCUGUAUGCAGAGAUCUUCAUAGUUCAACCCUUCAAUCCCCUUACUUCCUUCGACGCCCUGGAUCCUACUGGUCAAUUUCUUAAGUUCUUUAGCCAGACUCCUGAUGAGUGAGUCUUUAUCAUUAGACUAGGGUGUGCUUGAGAUGAGUUGGGUGGAGUGUGGCACGGUCCCCAUGUAGAUAAGGUUGUUAUGAUAUGUGUGAAAGUGGUCAUUUGUGGAGUUCAAAGGUUCUGAGAUGAGCAGUGGAGUAUUGUUGGAGGUGUGGCAAGUGUUGCAGUGGUGGUGAAGAGCGGGAUGGUUUCAUGGCUUUGGGAUAUUCUGUGGAGGUGUGGGGUUCUGAGCAUUUGGGAAAUUAAUGUUGGGAGUGGUGCGGGAAAAUGAUAGAUUCUCCAGAUUCCGAACCUGAUCAAGUUCUUCUUGGAAUUUUAGCAGCUUUUGUUCAAGCUGGGAUGCACUUUCCUUGGAAACCUGAGUACCAUGAGUGACCUCGACCCGUUCAGUUGAGUUCUCCUUUCUAGCAUUGUUCAAAUCUUCCAUUUUCCCUUUGUUCUUGUUUCUGAUAGGACUAAGAGGAGGAGUGAGUGGAGGGCCCCUGGAUCUCGUUGAAUAAGAUGAUGUUGCCAGAGUGCACGAACUAACUUUUGGGGAGGGGAAUAAACAAAAAGUAAAAUAAAAAGGUAACAAGUCAGUGAGGAUUAUAAGAAAAUGUUGCGAUAUUUAAACACAUAGUGCAAGAAUGUAAGUCGUGUACUAUUUGGGAGCCUCUUUGUGCCCGAGGUAGGCCUAGCAACAAGUUGAUUUGGAGAACUUAAAAUGCUAAAUGCCUCAUUUUAUUGAUAAAAAGAUGACGAAUCCCAAAUCGACCCUAAAUAGCAGGAAAGAAAAAUAUCACUAGUGGCUGUUGGCCUUAUUACAUUUCUUAAAGCAAAAGAAAAACUCCUAUCUAUUUGGUCCCGGAAGGACCUUCCCCAGACUCGACAUCUUUGGCUCCGUCGAACAGUUUUCCCAGCUCGCGAUGUCCCAGCAAUAGGUAGGCUCUGGCUAGAUGUCCGUCCUCAUUUCCCUCAAUAUUUUGGCAAUCCUCUAUCCUUUUGAGGAACUUCCUUUCUAGCUCCACUAUGCCUCGCUCCAAGUAUCCCAAUCGCUUGUUGGUACUGACAGCCAUGUCUUUCUGCUCCUCGAUCAGCUUUUGGUUGGCUUCUUGUAUCUCACGGUGCUCGAUUUCACAUUCUCGGAUCCUCUUGCAUAGUUGAUUGUAUUUGACCUGUGCCUCGGCCCUCUCAUCUAUGAUCCUGUAGCCCCUAGCAAGUCCUGGCUGACCCAGACCAUCGUGAUUAGAUUCCAACCAGCCUGAAUAGUAUGGAGUACAACCAGCAUGGUAUCUGUCUGGUUCGAUAGUAUCUCUUCCCAUGAUGAUCUUGCAAUGCCACAUAUUUUGAGCUUGGCAAUUAUAAGGACUGUCAUCAGCUUGGAAGUCAGCCCGGAAGUGACUCAUCUUAUCUACACUUGGUAUAACCUGCUUCCUACCAGCCUGUCUCAUAACUCGGAGAGGGACAUAAGGGUAGGUUCCUCUCAGACCGAUUAGUAUCAGAAACGGCGCAUCCCUAGAUCGGACGAUGAACUCCUCAGUAGGGAACUACUCGAACAUCCAUUGUACUUGAUCCUCAGUUAGAUUUUCAAACAGCUCUAACCAUCCCUUGGCGUCUUCUGGAUGGGCGAACAUGUUGGGCAUGUAGUUCAUUCGUUUCGGAUGAUGGAAAGCGAUAUGAUCGUCCUAGUCUCUUCGCUGAAUUUCCUUUCGGUAUUCACCCCUUUGGAGAUGCUUCAUGAGCCAAAGCUGAAGUAGCAAAUUGCAGCCCUCGAAGCAUUCGGCUCCUCGUUGACACUUCUCCGAGGCUCGGUAUAUAUCCACAAUAAUCAUGGGCACAAUGCUGAAUGGUUGCCCACCAGUUCCCUCCAUUAGAGUUUUGGUUACCAUAGCUAGCCUGGUGUGGAUCCUGACUUUCUUCAUUGGAAACACUAUCAUCCCCAGGAAGCAAAACAUGAAGACAAAGACCCUUCGGUGAAUAUGCCCCAAUGAUGUGAGGCAGAACUCGUCAGGAUAAGUACGGUAAGAUUUGUUGUGACCGUACCUCUCGUACAAAUAAUCAAAGGGAAUAUAAGACUUUUUCAAGCAUGUCAAGUCUGGAUUCUUCUUUAGACCCAUCAUUUUGAGGAAACCUCUACCCUUGCGAUUUUCCGGCAUUAACAAACCCGGAGUUUCCCAUGGUAUACCAGCUAAUCCUCUUAUUUCUUCCAGUAGGGGCGUCAUCUCAAUGUCCCCGAAGUGGAACACAGACCUAUCACAAUCCCAGAACAGAGUAGCAGCUUCUAUGAUCUUGUUGUUAGGUUGGACUUCCAGAAGAGAAUGUAGAUUUCCUAGGUAUUUUCGGACAAGAGUCUGAUCACUGGAAUGAAGAUCCUCCCACCAGCUUAGAAAUUUUGGGUGGAUGUUGGUGACCAUGCCAAAUCUGGGGACUUCGUGCCUCAUAUUUCUUCAAGACAAAAAGGGUUAGGCCCUUACCCCCACCAAACUCGACUAUUAAAUAUCAAUAAUUGGCAUAAAACAUUUAGUUCUCCAAAUAAAUGCGCAGAACGUGAUGGUGUCCGUUUGGGUUUUAGGGAAACCCAGUGGACUUUGGACAAGGCUAUCUUAAAGAGUCAUUAUGUGGACAACAUAAUUGACUCGGUUAAGUUUGACCAUGAUGCAUGCACAGUUAAAUAGAGUAAGGUUUCUAUGGGGUUUUAGACCGGUACCCUUAAGAGGACAACUCAAGGGGGAAAACACAGAACCGUUGACUACACCAUUGAUCGACUGGUUUUAUCGCAAAUACACCUUUUCCGGAUUUNNNNNNNNNNNNNNNNNNNNNNNNNNNNNNNNNNNNNNNNNNNNNNNNNNNNNNNNNNNNNNNNNNNNNNNNNNNNNNNNNNNNNNNNNNNNNNNNNNNNNNNNNNNNNNNNNNNNNNNNNNNNNNNNNNNNNNNNNNNNNNNNNNNNNNNNNNNNNNNNNNNNNNNNNNNNNNNNNNNNNNNNNNNNNNNNNNNNNNNNNNNNNNNNNNNNNNNNNNNNNNNNNNNNNNNNNNNNNNNNNNNNNNNNNNNNNNNNNNNNNNNNNNNNNNNNNNNNNNNNNNNNNNNNNNNNNNNNNNNNNNNNNNNNNNNNNNNNNNNNNNNNNNNNNNNNNNNNNNNNNNNNNNNNNNNNNNNNNNNNNNNNNNNNNNNNNNNNNNNNNNNNNNNNNNNNNNNNNNNNNNNNNNNNNNNNNNNNNNNNNNNNNNNNNNNNNNNNNNNNNNNNNNNNNNNNNNNNNNNNNUUUAAAGCGGUAGUAAAUGAAAGCAGUAAAUGAAAGUAAUAAGGAAAAGAAACAAAAAGACAAGUCAGUUUUGCAAUCGAAAAGAAAUAUUGAAUGCUUGAAAGAAAUAAACAGAUAAUUGCGCAUAAAGAAGCAUAAAUUAACAAUAAUAGUCUGAAGUGGUAAAAGCCUAAGAAUCCCCAGCAGAGUCACCACGCUGUUGCGCCCCCUUUUUCUCGCGAAAUCGGGUUUAUGACAUUUGGUAGGACAACUCAUUCCUUUUUGGGAAUUUGGGUUUGCAUUUGAAGAGUCGCCACCUAAUGAUUAAGGUGCAUUAGGACACCAAGAAGGUUUGAUUUGAGUAACCAGAGAUUGGGUAAGGGCUUGAAAUUAUUCCAAGGGGAAGGUGUUAGGCACCCCUCAGAAUCCACUAGUGUGGUUUCCGACCAAACUAUUGUUGUGAAUUUAGGUGCAAAUAACAUGUAGGCAAAUAGAACUUCAAAUAAGAGCGGAUUUUCACAUAAUGGUUACAAACAAAAUUGGAAAGAAUUAAAAGGAAGCUGAUUUCUUAAAAGAAAUAGUUUGAAAUCUUUACAAGAAACAAAGAAACAAAAGAAAAAGGGGGGUCCUAGGUUUAUUAAUAAUAUGGAUCACCCCACACAACAUCCGGUAAUCACUCCUCAGUGAGGGGCUACACGAGACGUUAUCGCGUGGUCAUCAUAUUCAUAUCUACCCUUUCCCACCCCGUUGAGGUAUUAAAGUGUGAAAUGGUCUCGAUUACUUAUUGCAUGCUAUUACUCGUCCCAAUCCUAUAAGUCCGGAGGCAUUAGGACUACUAAUCCUAAGAGGGAGGGAUAUUAGGCUUAUUUGUAGUUUCAAAGGUAAAAUUCUAAGGCAACAUACAAAAACAUGUAUAGCAAGUUGGGAAAAGCACAUAACAAGUAAAAGGCUCAGAUGUACCCCCUCGAACAAAAAAAGCACAUAAUUAGCAUGACUUUCACAUACUGUUUAUGGUCCGAGAAAGAACUUAAAAGUUUAGGCAAACUGAUUUAUUACAUAAUUCAGAUAAGAAGCCCGAGUCAGGCCAGCCUGUUGGUUGUAGUUAAUAACACAGAUUCAGUUUAUAACUUUUAUCCUAAGGCUUGCCUGAAUGUCGGACAAGGAUCCUAUAGGCAUGGUAUCUAUUGAAUUCAGGAAAGCCAUGAAAUAAUAAGGCCUAAAUAAAUAAACAUUAGUACAUGCUGGUAAAAAGGGGAAGUCAGAGAAAGCGCACUUUAACGAAAGUUAUAGGCUCUAAAACUGAUGAUACUCGUUAUUACUGAUUUUAUAUCUAACAUUUAAGUGAGGCGAAUCAGAUUCAAUUAGAGACUCCUAUAGGCAUGCUUUCUAGGCGUUACUGGUUUUAAAACCUUGAAGAUGUAGUAUAAAAAUGCAGAAGACUCAUUUUAAACCUAUGAACAUGAUAUCUAGAUGUUGAAUUCUAUUUAAGACAUGAUGCCCAAGUGCAAUUGAAUGUUUAAGUCCUAUGAGCAUGGUAUCUAGGUGCAGAAAUUUGUUUAAGACCUAUGAACAUGAUUUCUAUAUGAGAAAAUGGAUAUACAGGAUUCAGAAAGACCUAUAGGCAUAUUUUCUAUAUGCAUAUGCAGAAUUCAGAUUGACUUAUAGGCAUGAUUUCUAGACGAGAGUCGUAGACCUAUGAUCAUAAUUUCUAUAUGAAAAAUGGACAUUUAGAAUUCCCUAUAGACGUGCUUUCUAUAUGCAUUUGAGUGUGCAGAAUUCGAAAACCUAUAGACGUGGUAUCUAUGUGAGAAUACAAAAUUCAAAAUUCCUAUAGCCAUGGCAUCUAUGUGAAAGUGCAGAAUUCAGAAAUACCUAUAGGCAUGACAUCUACCCUUUGCAUAUAUAGUUACCUGCCCUUUCACUAACCAGCCCCAAAUGUUUAUUACAAAAUUAUUACAGCCUAGAAUAAAGUGAAAUACAUCAGAAAAAAAUAAAAGUACAACCAAAGGAGAGCCUGAUUCAGACUUCAUAUCUGAAAUAUGAGGUAAACCAACUCCAUAAGAUCAAGAUCCAAAGCCUUUCUCCCAUUCGAGUGUGUCAAGUUCCCUAAGAGCCUCAAAAGGACUCCGGGCAAUGCUCACACCCAAAUGUAUUAUCAGAUUAAGACAAGCGCAGUGUGGAAGGGUCAGCCCUCAAGUGUCCAAGUUCAGAGGGAACUCAAGGUCCCAAGGCAAGGGUCAUAAGAGGGGGUCAGAACUUAAAGACUAAGAGGGAGUGCAAGUGUAGAAAAGAAUUCUGAGAGAGGGAAAGGGGAAGAGAAAUAACUACAAAUAAGUACACAUAGGGGCACAGGGGAACGGGGAGGUUGUAAAGAGCCAAGGGCAGGUUGUGGGCAUGCCCAACAAUGGUGAAUGCUAGCACACCCAUAAGCCUGUUAGAACACACUAUUAGAGGCUAGGAUCCCAAAGGAUCAAGCUUAAUUCAUGGGCAAUAAUUUGCAUAUUGUCAUGCCUUAAGCCAUAGCUCAAACACAUAGGGGGUAGGGGUUUGGGAUCCAUAAUAGAAACAGGCAGAAAGAAAUCAGCAUGCUAAUUUAAGUGUUGAACUGUACAGAAACAGUAAGUAGGCAUGGAUACAAAAGCAGUAAAUUAACACAUUGUCGUGGUGCUAAAGCUUAAACCAGAACAUACCAGUUUCAAAGAAACAAAAGUAGUAGGUCUUGUAAACAGGCCACGAUGCAAGCAAAUAAGAGAGAAUACUAUUGUGUGUAAGUGUAGUUUCAGAAGAAAACUAUGAGUGAGUGAUCCUUUUUUUUUUGUGCUAAUGAAAGAGUAGUGUAUUUAUAGUGUGAAAAUAGGUAGAAAUAAGGUAAGAAAAUAAUUAAGGGACUGGGGUAUCAAUUAAAAAUCAAUCAAUACAAAAUUUCGAUUAAUUAAGGAACUCAGAUUCAAACGGGAAAANNNNNNNNNNNNNNNNNNNNNNNNNNNNNNNNNNNNNNNNNNNNNNNNNNNNNNNNNNNNNNNNNNNNNNNNNNNNNNNNNNNNNNNNNNNNNNNNNNNNNNNNNNNNNNNNNNNNNNNNNNNNNNNNNNNNNNNNNNNNNNNNNNNNNNNNNNNNNNNNNNNNNNNNNNNNNNNNNNNNNNNNNNNNNNNNNNNNNNNNNNNNNNNNNNNNNAAAUACACGGUUACAUAAAUAAGGUAAGAAAAAUCAAUUAGUAGCCAGUAAAUUAAGGAUCGGAGAUUUUGUAAUCACUGGUCCAUUAGUGAACCAAGUCAAAAAAGCUGAGAAAAGUUUUAACUUAUGUCGAGUCACAAAGAAAUCAGCCAACAAGGAAAGAGAUCAAUCAAACCUAUACAAAAGGAAGUCUGAACUAAUCACAAAUUUGAAAGCCAUUUUAGAGGGAAGUUCAGCACAUAUAAAGAGCAUACAAACAUGCUAAGCUGAAAGAAAAUGACGUGUCAUUGCAAAAUCAGUAGAUAGUAGACUAUAGGAUCAUGGUAGUCACAUAGGUUAGCAAUGUAGAAGAGAAGUAGCAUCAAACAGCAUACAAAAGGUCCAGUGUAAAAGACCUUAGAAGAGUUUAGCGGAAAAUCAGAAUUGCUUAAAGAGACAGAGGUUGAAACAAAGAUUUCGAGACUCAGUUGAGAAACAAAUUCAGAAACUCAAAAUAGUUAGGGUUUCUAAAAUCAGACGGUUUUAAAGAUAAAGGACAAACAUAUCACAUAGCCAAUGUUCUCAAACUCGGAUGAACCCCAAAUUUUAGGGUUUUACCAUCAAUCAAGUGCCGAGAUGAGAGGACAAGUAAUCAAGAAGAAGAUACUAGUCGAAAACAAGUUCAAAGAUCUUAGAAGGGAACUGGGGCCUUCGACAUGAUUUUUCAGUAACGGAAACUCAUGAGAAACAUAGUAAAAGAGUAACAUGCGAAUCAUAAUAGAAGAGCUCAAAGAAACAUAGUAGAAGAAGCUAAUAAGAAACAUAGUAGAAGAAGACUAAUCAGAACACAGUUAGGAGAAACAUGGUAGAAGAAACAAUUAAGAACACAGUGGAAGAAACUUAAUAAAAAAAACUCACAGAGAACACAGUAGAAGAAACGUAGUAAAAAAAUAUACAAAAGAUAAAGAAAAUCAGAGAGGCCUCUAAAUAACUCAGAAACCCUAGGUCGGAAAAAAUAAAGGGUUUUGAAAACAUAGCUUUAAAAGAAAUAUCAAGAAAUCGUUUAAAAACUUAGGGAAAACAUGGAUCUGGAACAGAUCUAAAGAGAUCAGAAAAACCUCAAAAGCUAGGGUUUUAGAGGAAUCCAAACGGUGAGAAAGGCCUGGAUCAAAGAAGGAGGAAUUGAGGCCAGGAUCGAAACAGAUAUAGCUUGUCGGAGCAAGGCUGGAGAUGGCCAUAAAACUCGAAUCAACGAGGCCUGGACGAAGCUUCUUCGUGCUCAGGCCAUGAAACCUCAACAAACGAGCGUGUAUGCACCAUGGAAGGAGGUUGGUAGGUGGUGAGACCACCAUAGAUUCAGGCCAGGAGAUGGCCGGAGAAGAUGGAUGAGACUCAUCGGAGAGGAGGGGAAGGGGAAGGUUCUAGAGAGAACUAAAGAUAGAGAGAUAGAGAGAUAGAGAGAGAGUCGGUUGAGUGAGGGAAAUGAGUGGGGUUUGGGGGGUUGUUUGGUUUAAUUUAGGAAGGAUGAAUGGUGGCCGUUGAUCAUUUUGAUCAACGGCCUGGAUUAAAUGGGGAUCCGGGCCAGUCAUUCAAACGGGUUGUGGUCGGGUAGAUUUAGGAUUUGGGUUGGGUAAUUGGGUUUGAUAUUGGGUUUAAUUAGGGGUUCAAAUCUGGCCAAAAUUGAAAUGAAAUGGGCUAACAUUUAAAUAGCCACUUUUUCCCUUGUUUAAUUUAUAAAAAUAGUAAACUAAUUUCUGGGAGUAAAUUAAAGGUACUAAAAUGAUUAAUAAUACAUAAUUAUCCAAUUAAAAAUACUGAAGUUAAUCUUAUAAAUAUAAACACCAUUAAAUCUUAAAAAAAGCUAAUAUCGCAAUUACGCGCAAUUUAGCUUUAAAAAUACUAAAUAAAUUUACAAAAAAUAUGCAAAAAUUAUGUUAGCUAUAUUUAAUGCAAAUAUGAGAAUCCAAUAGAUGAAUCACCAAAAUGAUAAUUUUGGGAAGAAUUAUUGGGUUUUCUUGCUAAAAUAAGGAAAUAAAUUGAUUUAAAAAUCAUUAAAAUUAAGUGAAAAAAAAUACUAAAACCUUGGGACAUACUUAUAUAUGUAUAUUCAUGCUAUUUUGAAAGUAUUUUGUAUAUUUAAAAAUAUACAGGGAAAAAUUGGGUAUCAACAAUACCACUAGCUUUUGGAGAUUCAUAGUCGACCGAGUGGAUGUUCUUGUUUCCUUUGUCCACUGAGACCACUCGGCCAGUUAUCAGAUUGGUACCUGUACUUUAGGCCAUUCACAUAGUACACGUUCCUAACUGAGUGUCAAAAAAAACUUUCCAACUUUACAUUUGCUGAGAAUGUACCUCUCCUUUCUUUUUAAGGAUACAUUCCCUUCCUGCAAGGCUUUCAGUGAGAAGAAAUUCACGAUGUUUUUAGUCACGUGCUUUGAGCAUCCACAGUCCAUAGUCCAUUUCAGUCCGCUUCCUCUCACUGUUCCCUGCACAUCCAAAUCAAAGGUUAGAUUUAGGAACCCAAACUAGUUUGGGUCCCUUGUUAUGAUAGAAAGGAUGAAUAAGGGCUUUCCUAGUCCAUGCAGACAACAUUCGCAUCUUGCGAGUGGUACCUGGUACUUUUUUAGUAGUCACUUUAUCAGUAAACACUUUGUUUUUCUGAACAGACUGAACCCUAGCCUGACAAUUUUCCUUAAAAUGCCCAUUGUUCCCAUAGUGGGUACAUAGCCAGUUAUUAGGGACAGUGACAUACUUGCUGUGAGGGUUGUAAGGAGUUUUAUCCCUUUGAAACCCAAUGCCCUACCUGUUUCCACUAUUGUUAAGAUACAUGGCAGUGACAACAUCUGAGGACCAGGUCCACUUCAGAGAUUUCUCAAGAUCAAUUCUUACUUUCUCCAAUUCAGCUUGAAGUUGCUGAUUCUUCUCAAGUUCACUACGUAGACUGGUUUUCACAAUAGUUAAUUCCUUUUCAAGCAUGAUGUGUGUCUCAUUAGCUACUUACUUUCCUUUCCCAAGACUCACAUUCCUAUGUUCUCUAUUGAGUCCUUCAAUGGUUUCCUCUAGAUCGGUGCAUAUCACUAAAAGGUCAUCCCUCUCUUCCUCAGUAGUUGCAUUUUUUCCUUCUAAGGUGUGUUUCUCAUUGCUAAGACCUUCUAUUGUUUCUUUUAGAUCAACAACUACUACCAUCAGGUCGUUUCUCUCAUUUUUCACACUAGUUAUUCUUUCAUUCAAGGCUUCCUUUUCUUUUUCAAGAUUAGCUAUGGUCUCAUUUAGGUUCACUAGACAGACCACCAGAUCAUCUCUAGAUUGUUCGGCCUCUCCUAGUUCUAUGGUCAGGAUCUCCUUAUUAUUAACAAGGAUAUAAUAAGCAUCAACUAGGACAUUUUCUAACGACCCUAGCUUCUUAGAAGAGUAGGAUUUCAGAUUUCUCUGAACAUCCCUGAAGUUUACCUCAUCGUCUUCAUCUUCUCUAUCAUCAUCAGACUGGGCCAUCAGCGCGAACAGUGAAUCAUACUUCGUUGCUUCAGUUUCCACUUCCAUCAUGAAACUAUUUUCUGCAUAUGGUUCCUUUUCAAAUUUACUAGAGGAGUCUCCCCAAGCAGCAAAAGCCUGCUUAAUAAUAUUGUCAGCAGCACUUUUUCGAUUGAAUCAUUUGUCUGGAACCAGGCUCCUUUUUGCUGCUUUGUUAGGAUUUUGUUUGUAUUGCUUCUGUUUCGCGAGUGGGCAGUCUUUGAUGAAAUGCCCUGGCUUUCCACAUCUGUGACAAAGAUCGUUGUUCCUUGCUUUACUUGAACUGCCCCACUUUGGUAUACCACCAUGUCUUUGAACCAUAGUUUGAAAUCUCUUAGUAAGAUAUGCCAUGUCACUAUCUUCAUCACUUGAUUCACUGCUUUCAGCUUUGAGUACCAUGUUCUUUUCCUUCUUAGUCUCUCUUCUUUCACUAUCUUUCUUUCUUUUCAUCUCGUAUGUCUUCAGAUUACCAAUCAACUCAUCCAUAGUCAGAGUUUGUAGAUCUUUAGCUUCAGUAAUGGCAUUUACCUUACUUUCCCAAGAACCAGGUAGAACACUGAGGAUUUUCCUUACAAGCUUGUUUCUGGGAAUGACAUCUCCAAGUGAAUGAAGCUCAUUUAUGAUGGAGGUGAAUUUGGUGUGCAUAUCUUGUAUAGACUCAUCAUCCUUCAUCCUAAAGAGCUCAUAUUCUGUGGUGAGCAUGUCGAUCUUGGACUGUUUGACCUGAGUAGUUCCUUCGUGUGCGGUUUGCAAUGCUUCCCAUAUUUCUUUGGCAAUGUCACAAGCUGAGACUCUGUUGUACUCAUCAGGUCCUAUGCCACACAUCAAGAUUUUCUUGGCACGAUAGUUCUUUUCUACAACUUUUCAGUUAAUGUUGCUGUACUUUUUUUUGCCUUUUGGUACCAUUGGUCCUGUUUAUUCAAGCUUCUUCAUGGGGACAUGUGGACCAUCACAAAUGAUGUCCCACAGUACUGAAUCUUCUGCCAUCAUAAAAUCAUGCAUGCGUGUUUUCCAUCAGCCAUAGUACUAACUAUUGAAUCUGGGAGGUCUGUAGGUUGAUUGUCCUUCCUCAAAGUUGGGUAGAGCAGCCAUUGAGAUCCUUUCUAGGUGUUAACCUUUUAGAAAGAACCUGCUCUGAUACCAAUUGUUAGUUUAUAUGAGUCCACCAAACUAUAGAGUACCUGGUCUUAUAUGAGAUAAUGCUAAGAAUUCUAUAGAAACUGAAAGUAAAGAAGACAAGAGAUUUUUACGUGGAAAAAUCCCACACAAGGGGAUCAAAAAACCACGACCUACUCUUGUAGGCUUUUAACUUCACUAACUUGCAAUCUCCCUAUUACAAGUCAAUUUGCAAUAACCCUAUUACAAAGACUUCAACUAACUUGUGAUGCUCUCGCCACAAGCCACUUUAUAACUCUCCUAGUUACAAAGGCUUUAAACUUAUGACUAUUCCUAGUCACAACAUAAACUCAAAAGUUUACAGAUUUUUGGUUUUUUCCUAAGACAAAGCAUCUAAGAAAGCAAACUAGGAAAUACAAUGAAGAGCAAAUAAUAAGAUUACAACUCAACUACGGAUGUACAUAAACUCUUUUAGAAACUGAUCCUUAGUAGAGUUGUCUUCUUGUUCUUGAUACACCAGUGACUUCAAUACUGGAUAAACACUGUUAUGCUUGAGAGAGUAUCACUGAAUGCACAAAGAUGUUGUGCCUUGCACCAGGUUGUUAUAUCACAAAAGACAUCACAAUAGAUAGUGAUGUCAAUUCUUGGUACACGUUUUUUCCCAAUGAGAAGUGACUGUUGUACUGUCUGCACAACCACUUUUGUGCAGUUGCGUUCCAGCUGGAUAGUCGACUUGUACUUCUGUCAGAGAACACUAACGAACCAGGUCCUAGUUGUGUUCCUCUUCUGUAACAAUUGCGAGAUGGUCACCUUCUGCUGCUACGUUCCAACUGUACAGUGACUUGUACUUCUGUCAGAGAACCCUAAGGGACCAGGUCCCUGUUGUGUUCCUCUUUAUAAUGAUUGCGGACGGUCACUGACUUGUACUUGUAUCGAAGAACCCUAAGGGUCCAGGUCACCAGGUCUCUGUUGUGUUCCUCCCUGUGGUCGUUCAUUCAUUUGCUGAUUUUCAGACUUGGACCAGGUCAGUUGAAAUGUAUAUCAUCUGGGCCAGGUUCUAUAUCUGGUUCUUCACAACAAGUUUGUUAGAUCAUCAAAACAUAAGAAGCAUAAGGCAAAGACAUUGAAAACCCAUCAAUACGUUAGUUGAAACAUCUUUUGGUUCAAGGGUGACUGAACUCGAGGGCCAAGGCUAUUCAAUUCGUGUGGUUUGCAUUUAUUCUUUUAUCGUCAAUUUCAAUAUUAAUCUAUCUUCUUAAUUUGUGCCAAAUUAUAUUACAUAUCCUUAAAACCGCGUAUUUAUCCGUUUUCGAGGGUAAACACUUCUAAUUGUAAUCUAAAAAAUAUCAUAAAAACAUAUAUCCAGAAUGUGAAAAAUCUUUGAAACGCAGGUUGCUAAAAGGUGAAAAUUUAUGACAAAAUGAUUUAGGUUGUCAUAGACUGGCCUAUUCCUAAAUGGGACCAUGCACGUUAUCAAUAUUACUCCGUAUUUUUAAUGCCAACUUUAGGGCAGUUUGACUUGACGUUAGCAAAAGCCAAGUUGUUGUUUGAGUUUCUAAUUUGGUAUAGUAAAGUGCAUUAAACUUGCAUGUGGAUUUAAUAGUCAAUUUUGAUGUUACAGCGAUUCUCAACUUGUCCUUUGGUCAAAAUUAUUUAAUAUCCAAAAACCUUUUUGUUUUGUGGUCAGCGACCAAAAUAAAUAAUUAUAGGCUGUCAUUUCCUUAUUUAAAAAUGUUUAUUGUGGUAAAUAAAUAAACAGCUUCAUGCAAAUGGAUAAAUUAAUAAUUUCCCAGAACAAAUAUACUUUGACAUCUGUCAUGAUUUCUCUUGCACGCUCGGCUUCAACACCAAAGUAUUCCAUCUAUUGCUUUUAUGUAAUAAGGUUAUAUCGAGCAUGAAAGUGAAAUAUAAUUUGAUUCACUAUGGUAUAAAAAAUAUUAAUUUGACAGAAAAAUAUCACGUACUUCCCCCCACCUCUCUGGUUAAUUAGAUUCAAAUCUAAGAACUUGUGACGUAUAAAUAAAUAAUAUUACUGUUAUAACAACGUAAACUAUUUUAUAAAUUAAAAUGAAAGAAUAAGUUACAAAAUUCACACAAUACACAAAUUUUAAAUAGAUAAGGAAAAAAGAAAAUAAAAACGGAGAGACCGUUUGACUCCGUGAAAAAAAUGAGACCCUUUGACUCGAAAUAGAGGAAUGUUCUGGUUUUUGACAAUUUCUUAAAGCAAGAUGAUUAAAGCGACGCCACUUUCAUGUUAGCCACACAUUGUUGCCAAUGAUUAGUUAGCAGAAUUAAUGUUGUUAAUCUUUUUCAAAAGUUUUUCUUUUCAUUCCCGCGAGAAAGUGAUCAAUUUAUUUUUUUAUUUUAGUUUAAAAUAAGUAUUUAUUUAUAUAAUUAAAAAAAGUUAAUUUAUUUUUACAAAAUUACCUUUAUAUAUAUAAACCUAAAAAGUUUUCUUACUCCUCGCAUUAAAUAUUUAAUUAAGGAUAAUUUAGUCAUACUAUGUGUUUUUAUAUAGAAUUUAGUAUUUUCAUAAUGGACGUGUCAAAAAUAAAUUGAUCACUUAUUGUGGAGCGGAGAGAGUAAACAAUUUGCAAUUGGUGCAUUUGGUUUUUGACUUCCUGUUUUGUCAUUGCUAAGUUGGAAUAAUUGGACCACAACUACUGUAACCUGAAUCACUUAAGUACAAAAGCAAUAGCUUGCUUACAUAUCACAUCCACAUGAUAAUUUUAUUAAAAAAUCUAUAAAUCUCUUCCGUAAAUAUUUCAUAAAUGUAGAUCAAAAGUGGUAAAAUUCUAAAUGAUUUUUCAACCUAAAAAAUUAUGAAAAAUAUUUUUUAAAAAAACUCCCAAGGAAUUGAAAAAUUAAAAGAAUAGAAAUUUUAAUAUUUUUCAGCCCAACUAAAGAGGUUAUUGCUUUCAUCUCAUUUGAAAAACUUUUCAUUUUUAGAAGAGGAACAAUAAUAUUUGUUAUUUAGCACUCCAAAUUCAUUUGGUAAUAAUAAUUAAGUAUUAAUUAUAUUUGUGAUUGGCACGGAGAAAAAAUAUUGAACUCUAUCAGGAGGGUUCAUUAGUCAUUUCAAAUACUGUCAUUUCUGGAAAGUAAAUGGAUGGUACUCUCUGCAAUGUUCCAAGAAUUAAUUUCCCCUUUUAUCAGUUCAUAAUUUAGAUUCCUAUUACCCCAUAUUUUAAUCCUUAAUUAAUCACAUUAAUUAGUAUAAUAAAUUUUCACAGCAUCACCAAACAAAUAUGCAGCUAUAAAGGGCCCCACCAAUUUAACAUUAUUUUCUUUUCUUCCCUUUUGCUCCUUCUCUCUACAAUGAAACACUGCAAAAAGGGUUGGCAAGAAUUGUUGGAGAAAAAGGAGUCAUUUGAUUCUAUGCUCUACCCAUUUGAAUACUCAUGUUGAGAUUUUUUCCCUUUUUGAAACACCAUUGUUUUUUCAAGAUCUGAUUUUUUUUUUUCGUGCACCAUCUAAGCUCCAGGUACAACCAAAGCUGCUGUUUUCUUACUUUUAAUUCAAUCUGCUAAUUGGAUUUUAUGGUUUGUAAUUGUAUUUUGUGGGUUUUUGUUUUUAUCUUAAUAUUUUUCAAUUCUGUUUUCAGUUUUUCUUGUUUGAUUUAGCUGUGGUUUGCUAUGAUGUUUAAUUGUUAAGUUUCGGGAGUUGCCAAUAAACAAUGUAACAAUAUCAUAUGUGCUAAAUUUUUUUUUAAUCUUUUAUCUUUUUUGGUGUCUAAAUCAAAUGUUUUUUAAUUUUGGCAUUGUGGUUUCAGUAUAUCUAAACUUUGGAAAGUGGAAAAAAAAGGAUUUGUGUGAACUCAUUUAAGGAAAUAGAAUUUGAUGGUAAUUCUUUAACUAGUGCUGCUUGUUAUUGCUCAAGGUACUUGAAAUUGAAAUUUUGUGCUAAUUUGUCCAAUCUGUGCAAAAAUAUGGUAGAACAAGUAGAUUUUGACUUUUAAAGAGUUGUAGGACAGACAUUUGACACAAAGUAAUUCUAUUCAUACUGCUUUCCAUCUAAGCACAUGAUAGCUAUAUCAAACUGUCUCAAGAUAGCAUUUGUAGUUUGUAGUUCAUUGAAUAGAUAAUAAGAUCGAUGUCCGGACUUCACGUCAUGCUCCUAGAUCACUUACUCAAAUCCAAAUGCCUUCUUAACCUUUUUUGCUGGACAAAGUUGUCACCAAUAAAUAGUACAGGACAGCUUUUGGAUUUUGUUAGCUCACUUGUCCUAAUUUGAGACUUUGAUUUGAGGCAAACAAUGUUCUCCUGUAAUUUUUGUUUAUGUAGCUCUUAUGCUUCUUGUAACUUUGCAUCUUCUUGAUGCCUUCUUAAUGAAACAUAUUACUUCAUCAAAAAAAAAGAUCACCUAUAAUUGUUUGUUAUAUUUGUUUCUCUUUUGAUCUCUUGUUCUUGUUAACUUGCUACUCCUCUUUCUCUGUCUCUCUCCCUUUUGAUAAUAUGUGAGACACUUGUUGUUAGUUGAUUUGCAUAGUAUUAUAUAAGUAGCAUUGCAAAAAUACCAAAAUGAUGGGUGAGAGAAGUUACUUCGAUAGAGAAAAAGAACAUCAGAUUACAAGUUUAAAUAGGUAGUGAAAUGAAUUAAAUUCUAGAAACUUGUGAAAAUCGUUAUGAUUAGAUUAUUGGUGGAAAUAUAUUAAACAUCUUGAAGUUCGAAUGUUGUUAUUUGUAACGGUGGUGUUCAAGCCAGCGCACCUGUCUAUUUCACUUGGUACCUGCUACUACCCACUAGCGUAGGUACCAAGUGUGUGUGUUCACCAGCGCUUAGGUGGAUGGUAAGAUAUGACCUAGUGUUUUGGAAGUUCUGAUAUGGAAAGAGUAUUCUAUAAGUUGGGGCAAAAAGAUUACCAAACUGAUCAGUUUUUGCUGUCGGAGAAUUUUUUGUGAACCAUAUAAGAAGAAGGUAUAAGAGGGGUAGUUGUUCUGUUCAAUCAUCACAACUACAUCUAACCUGCAUCUUUCCACCCCUCAUCUUGACUAUCUGUUGCCAGUCUCCGCGUAGAUAAUAUGCUUUUUGAUUUAUGCAUGACAGGUUAAUGGAGUUGACAUCUGUAAGGUGCCUUAUAAACAGUAUCUCUCGAUUCAUUCAUCUUGUGACGUGUCUAACAUCAAAGACUAUGCCUGGUCAAAAGAGUUAUAAAAAUAUUGCGAUUUUGUUGAAGCUUUUAAAACCAGUACUUGAUGAUAUUGCUCAACAAAAAGCUCCUUCCGAUGAAACCAUAUCAAGGCAGUGUGAAGAACUGGACAUAGCCAUUAAUGAAGCUAGAGAAUUACUGGAAGAAUGGUCUCCUAAGAAGAGCAAGAUUCUCUGGGUAACGGCCAUUUUUAAUUUCCUUCUCUGUUGUAGACAUAUCCUCACAAAAUGAAGGAAAACUGAAUGCAACAUUUAGGAUCUUCUGUAGGUUGCAUGGCAGAGUUAAUUGAUCUGACUGUUGUUCCCUAAUUAAGUAUACGCUUUCAUGUUUCAGCUUCCAAGGAGUUCGCACUUUGUAAUUUCUGUUGCAUUUAUUUUGUUCAAACAUAAUUCAUUCUAAAAGGAUUCAUCAUCCAUGAUUAAAUUCUGUGCUGUCAAUGUUACAUUGAUUACUUGCCAGCACAUGAAGCUACCUCUUAUUGUGGUUAGGACCUGAGUGCCGUUGUCAUUUCCUUUACCUUUCGUGUUAGUUUGCUUUCUCUGUUUGAGACUAGUCGUUGUGGAUAAUUCUGAGGAAAUAGUCUUCCUCUCUAAGAAGAAUAAAACUCUUGGUUGCCUGUACAUGGUGUCCUCAACUGUCUUAUAGUGAGAGUUGGUGUUUUAUUGUGCUGUUGAUAAGUAUUAUGCUAUUUUAUUUGCUUUGAUUAUGUCAGACCAACUUUUUCUUAUGUUAGAUAAUGUUCGUGUAAUAAAGUCUUUAAAUACCUUACAUAAUCAGGCCUGCUCAGUAUAGAUCAUGUUAUGCACAGCUCCGAUUACUAUCUCAAAGUGCAGAAAUACUGAAGUGUUGUUAUCACAUAAAUAGAAUGGAUUUAUGUAUCACCUAUCAAAAAAAGGAAUGCACAUAUGUAUCUAGUAGACUAGUACUCUCAUUUUGGACAAACUUUCUGCAGGCUUUUUAUAUACUUGCCUUGCUGAGUAAGAUCAAUGUGUUGCAUUUAUCCAGCUGAUCUAAAUGGGGAUAAAUAUAAUAUCAAUAACCACGUCAAAUGCUCAUGUCUAAGCUCAUGAUUCAUGAGAAUGAUGUUCUUAUCAGUUCUCUAAUGCUUUUUUUUUGGUCUCCCUCCUUGGAGGAGAAGGGCGACCUUUUUAUUGAAAUCCGGAUAUGUAGUAAAUCUUUUACUUUUCAUCCUCCAUUUGUAAAAUCUGGAAAUUAGAUCAAGCUGCGCGCCUGAUAUCAUUCUACCAUAAAAUCUCCAGUUUGAAAAAAAUUAUUUCUUUUCAGUUAUCAUACAUGAGUUGAGCUUAAAUGAAGAAACAUGGUUAGUGAGGAUUCAUAUAGUCAACCAGACUUGUUUGGACUGAGCCACAGUUGUUAUAUCGUCCAGUUUUAUUGAAUUGAAGCAAAGUGACGGAAAAUCAAAUCUAGCCUAUCACAAGCUUUUCCAUUUCUAUUUUUUUGAUAAGAACUUAUUAGAUAUUUGAUAUUCCAGGUUUUCCAGAGCGAGCCACAAUUGCUGAAAAUCCAGAGCCUUGCACUCAAGAUAUCUCACAUUUUAAGUAAAUUAGUAGAAUCAUCACCAUCCACUUUGAGCCUUUCUGAAAUUCAGGUCUGGAGCAUUUUAAAUAUCACGAGUCUUUAGUUGUAUCCUUCAUUGUCUUGUUAAUAUUGCAUUAAAUCUAGCUCAGUUAAUUAUUUGAUCCUGACAUUAUCUGGACUGAUUGCAAUUUCCUGUGCUUCAGCACUUCAUACAGGAACUUCAGAAUUGCGAAGUGGGGAAAAUAUCAAAACACAUAAACGUGGCUCUUGAAGGAGGAAAGAUACUUCGUUCUGAAAGCCUGACAGAAAUUAUUCACUCCCUUAAUUUGACAUCUCACGAAGAACUGUUGAAUGAAUGUAUUGCAUUAGAGAAGGAGAGAAUGAAGGCUAAAGAUAAUAAAACAAGAGGAGAUUUGGAUAAGAUCACCAUUUCCGUUGACCUCUUCUCUCAUAUUCGUGAUUGCAUGCUUGAACUUGACACCUUAAAGGCCAUAGAUGGUAUUAAGAUCCCUCCUUAUUUCCGGUGUCCUUUGUCUCUGGAACUGAUGGUGAAUCCAGUCAUUAUUGCUUCAGGCCAAACUUAUGAGAAGACUUCGAUUCAAAAAUGGCUGGAUCAUGGACUAAGUACAUGCCCCAAAACCCUCCAAGUGCUCGCACAUUCAAAUCUUAUCCCAAACUACACUGUCAAGGCUCUGAUAGAAAAUUGGUGUGAAGAAAACAAGGUGAAACUGGACGACGGGAAUCUUGAGUCCACUCGUGAUGGAAUCUCAUCAAAAUCUGGACAUCUUACUGAUAUGGACGACAUGCGAGGUUCUUCAGAAACUAGCAAUUCAACAUCAAGACUUUCUCUUCAAGGUGGACAAGCUUUUGAAAGUCAGAAGAUUGAUUGCACCUCUGAAUUAAGUGAAGAAGAAUUUAGUGCAUGCCAUAUCAGGGAGGCUGAAAAAUCUGGCCACACAUCCUCAGGGGUUUCCUAUAGCCACAGCAGGAGCGAAUCAGUAUCAAGUGCUGUUUCCAGUAUUGAAUAUCUUCCCUCGGCGUCAACUGAUGUCUCCAGGAUAUCAAGCAAACAUGAUAAUGUGAGUGAUACAUCUGGAGAGGUACAAUGUGAUUACCGCGUUUCUUCUCCGUGUAACAAGAGUGUUGGGAAUUCUCCUAAUUUAUCUGCAAGGCAAUAUCACAGCUCCAAAACAAUGGGUGGAAUGGCUGUGAAUGGACUCCACAACCACGCUAGACAGCUUUCCUUACCAACAAAAUCAAUGCCUGAUGAUCUGACCACGAGUUCCCAUGUUGAAAAGCUUAUUAGAGACUUGGAUAGUCAAUCAACUGAGGUGCAAACGACGGCUGCAGCAGAAUUGCGGUUUCUUGCAAAGCACAACAUGGAAAACCGAGCUAUUAUAGGCCGAUGUGGGGCUAUUGCUCCACUCAUCUCUUUGCUACACUCUGAUGUGAAGUUAACUCAAGAGCAUGCUGUCACAGCACUACUAAACUUAUCAAUAAAUGAAGACAUCAAGGCCAUUAUUGCAGAACAAGGGGCGCUUGAACCCCUUAUCCAUGUCCUGAGAACAGGAAAUGCUGGAGCAAAAGAGAAUGCUGCGGCAGCUCUUUUUAGUCUGUCUCUUUUGGAAGAGUACAGGAAAAAGAUUGGGCGAUCUGGAGCAGUUAAAGCGUUGGUUGAUCUUCUUGGUUCGGGUACCAUCAGAGGGAAGAAAGAUGCUGCUACAGCAUUAUUUAACCUGUCAAUAUUUCAUGAAAAUAAGGCUCGCAUUGUUCAGGCUGGAGCUGUGAAGCAUCUCAUUAGGUUGUUGGACCCUUCAAAUGAAUUGGUCGAUAAGGCUGUUGCUCUUCUUGCAAAUUUGUCUACUAUUGCAGAGGGCUCCUUAGCUAUUGCCCGAGAAGGGGGUAUACCAUCACUAGUCGAGAUUGUUGAAACUGGAUCUCAGAGGGGAAAGGAAAAUGCUGCCUCAAUACUGCUGCAACUGUGUCUCAACAGUCCAAAGUAUUGUCGAUUAGUGUUGCAAGAAGGUGCUGUCCCACCUCUUGUUGCAUUGUCUCAGUCGGGCUCCCCAAGAGCAAAGGAGAAGGUACGUAGCUCGUCUUCUUUGAAGAGUGUUCUUAUUUGUCCAAUAACUAGAAAACGUUUUACUUAGGAAUAGAUUCUGCUCUUCUUAUGGGAGGGUUUGUAUGAUCUGGUAUGUAUCAGCGCUUGCGCUCUUGACAAACUUCAAGCUGCUUUUAACCACAUUGAAUAUACACCCACAGUGUGUGUGCCCUGAAACGCCAUGACACAUUUUUUUCUUUUUCUUUUUCUUUUUCUUUAUCCUUUUAUUUUUCAAUGUUAGUUAUCGCAGCUUCAGGGUGAUAACGUUUGUAUUUUUUUCUCCUUAUGGUGGAGCAGGCACAACAACUUCUCAGUCAUUUCCGCAGCCAGCGUGAAGGAGCCACGGGAAGGGGGAAGUCAUGAUGUAAAAGUUUUGACUCAUUGAUUCAUGCUGGUUUGCUAUGGGGUUCAAUAUUCAUAGAGUUGUUUUCUUUCAGGAGCAAUAUUUUUUUUAAGUUUCCCACAUUCUUGUUUGUUUUACCGUUAGGAAGUAGUUUGCUACUGGUUAGGAAUUUGAUAUGUAAAUGGUAGUAGAUUCUUGUGUUGUAGCUUUCACAAUUGGCAACAACUGCUAAUAAGGUUUUGUCCCUAUGGUUGCUUUUUCGUCUCUAGAAGACCAAUUGUUAGCUGGUAGAUAUUGUACAUGUGUGAAUACUGAUAUUAGAAUAUUUGCAUCGGGCCCAUCUCUUAAAGCA